GUGCUAAUACACUAAUUCCAAUCAGUGAGAGUACCCCUUUCUUAAAAAGAAGCACUGAACAAUCACUGAUGAUCACAGUUCGUUUUAUUCCGUAAUAAUAUCAACAUUUCGUUCAGGAUCUGUACCUGCUGUUCAUCGUAACGACCUUCGGUCUAAUUAUCCCUACUUACGGUAGAUGUAAGAAGUGCAAUAUCUCGUGCUGAGAACAAAUAGACGCGGAGCGCGGGAAGAGGCUUCGAAUGGCGGAAGAACGGCUCGUCUUCAUGUCUCAGUAAACACGACGGAAGCUGUAAACGUUCACGCCUCAAUCCGACCCUCUUAAUUUCUGCUCGGCUAGGCUCUUAGGGUUCGAUCAAAAUUCUACCUUCGCAGAACGGAGGAGUCGAGAUGCGCGCGACGCGAGAGAGCGCUGUCAGUAACAGAAAUUGGCGGUUUCACGAAUCCUUGAUAAUCCCAAGGACGGAUUCGCACCGUUCAAGGUGAAGAGCGCGAUUAUCCAAGUUCAACGUCGCGGGACCCAAGCCGAGGUCGACGGCCGCGACACUCACGAGGUCAACGGCCAGAUGAUUCAAGGUCAACGAUCGAGUUACCCCGGGUCAAUGGCCGCGUCGUUCAAAAUGCCGAUGUCCGAAUAGUCCGAAUAGAAAGGUCAAGUUACGAGGGGCAGGGCGGGAGAAAAUUGAGGAACUUUUACGACGGAGAUGUCGGAGCUUGCGACGAACAAUCCUAAACUACUUUGGGGGAUUCAAAGUCGUCUCUACGUCUUUAAGAUUCUCGCGAGUAAAGCAAAAAGAAGCUUGAUGAUUGCGAUCUCUACCCGGAGCUGCAUACCUUCGAUUCACCGGACUGAACAACGUAGCCAUUAGUAUAACUAUCCUAAUUAGUAACCAUUAUGAUUACAGCCUGCGUGUUUGAUUUUCCGUACUCUUAUUAGUCGCUCGGAAAAAGAUUCCAAUCUAGAGUGUAAGAAAAUAUCGUUACGUGUCCAUGAUAAAUAAAAAUAAUGAUGUAAUUUUCCGAUCGUUAAAAGAAAUGCAACCGCUUGUAAGGACCUUAUGUGAACAAUAAUAGAUCAGUAAUAUUGAGUUAGUAAUACUGACAGUGUGCAUCCAUAUUUUUACAACCUAAAUUAUUUUUGCAAUUUUUGUGAUUUCCAUGAUUGUGGAAUUAUAUCAACAGAAAUAUUGACACAUCCUCUUCUAACAUCAUUAUCGCUGUCAUACUUAUCACACAGUGUGACACUAAUGCUCGAAAGAAUAAAAAAAUUUGUAUAAUUGUCAAUAUUCUACAAUCCAACAAUAACCAUACACACAGUCAAUAAUAUUGUCAGUAUUUGUUAGUACUGACAGUAUUGUUAAAUAAUUAUCUCGUACAUGAAAAUAAUUCGCAUCAAUAUCAACGUCAAAAA